UUACGUACAAUCAGUAAUUUUACUUAUGAAAUGAUUGGAAAACCAGGGGAAACUUGCCACGGAUGGCAAGUUUAGGAAGUAAGGACAGGAUGUCCUUUGUUUCCGACCCGUCCGGUAAAAUAUUCUUUACUCAUUUCAUUAGUAAAAUCUGAUUGGAAGUUC
rfam:Lachnospiraceae bacterium 28-4 genomic scaffold acPFn-supercont1.1, whole genome shotgun sequence.